GACGAACGCUGGCGGCGUGCUUAACACAUGCAAGUCGAACGGAAAGGCCCUGCUUGCAGGGUGCUCGAGUGGCGAACGGGUGAGUCACACGUGGGUGAUCUGCCCCUUACUUUGGGAUAAGCCUGGGAAACUGGGUCUAAUACUGGAUAGGACCAUGCUGUAGGUGGUGUGGUGGAAAGAUUAGUUUCGGUAAGGGAUGAGCUCGCGGCCUAUCAGCUUGUUGGUGGGGUAAUGGCCUACCAAGGCGUCGGCGGGUAGCCGGCCUGAGAGGGUGGACGGCCACAUUGUGAGUGAGAGACGGCCCAGACUCCUACGGGGGGCAGCAGUGGGGAAUAUUGCACAAUGGGCGCAAGCCUGAUGCAGAGACGCGGCGUGGGGGAGGACGGCGUUCGGGUUGUAAACUCCUUUCAGCGAUGACGAAGCCCUUGUGGUGACGGUAGUGGUAGAAGAAGCACCGGCUAACUACGUG
rnacentral:rRNA from 1 species